CCUACAAGAAAGUUGCACGAUGGUAAUUUUGUAAUUAAUUAGAAAGACUUCCUAUUUCGGUUGAACCAAGAAUUGAUAUCAAAAGUGAGAUAAGUGGAAUCUCUAACUCCCUCUCUUUCUCGCCUUUAUCAUUUGAUAAGAUCUCCUUUUUAAUUCUAUUCAUAGGGCUUUUCUUUUCUUGUAAGUAUAUUAGCCCAAACCCACAAGUGGAGGUGCACAUAUUUAUCAAGUGUCGCUUGUUCAUAUGAGCUCGUCGUUUAUCAUUGCCAGAGAUGUCUGGAUUUACAUAGAAUGUGUUGUUGCUUGCAUGGAGGGGAUACUUUCUCAAGCGAUGGACGUUGGCACACUAGAGAUCUAAAGAGGUUGGGCUUUGCAACAAUGGUUGAAGCAAUCUUAUUUCAUAUGUUGUUCGUUGUGGCAUAUCUGCUUCAAGCAUGGUGGAGCUCUCAUUUUAUGUGCUGCCCUUGGAAGUCUCGUGCAAUAUUUUCCAAUGAUGCUCGUGUCGCAAAUUUAUACACAGUGCAAUGAUUUCGCAUUGCUGAAGCUAACUUCCAUUCCGACGUGUGUUGCUAUGGAGAUAGUUGGUAGUCGCAUGCCCUAUUUGGCGAGGUCCUCUGCCCUAUUUGGCAAGGUCCAGGGAGGACCGGUGCGACUAUAAUGGUGGUUGUGUGUUGGUUCUGAAGGGAGAAUAUGGAUUAUAAAGAU
rnacentral:lncRNA from 1 species